CCGACCUUAUUGAUCUGCCAAAGCCAUACCCCGAGCAGGGUCAAUAGGGUAGUUCACUUAUCCUGCCACACACACACACACACACACACACACACACACACACACACACACACACACACACACACACACACACACACACUGUCAUUAAUUUUGGGAAGACACUGUCAGUAUCUGUCUACGCAAGCUCUCUGGAACUGCCUGUGCAGUAACUUUGUGCAGCAUCAUGGAGGUCACCCCAUCUGUGCCAGAUAGUGUGGUGUCUUAAUGCACAUCACCUUCUAACCAAUCAGAAUCCAGUAUUGAGACUGACCAUGGACUCGGCGGUGAUGAAACAGACUCUGCUUGCCUGUGAGUGGGUGGAGGAGAACAGACCCCACUUUGCUGGGAAAGUUCACUUACCACGGAUCAUGAGGAUGAACGAGGAUGAUGCCUUGUUGGCCAUCACAAUGCAGGACCUGCUUAUCAACACUAUUUUUUAUGAAAGUGAAAUGAAGAGAAAAUCCGGGCUCCCUUCCUUUUCACCUUCGAGAGAUUAGAGGACAUGGAGUUUUUCAUGCAGGAAAUAUACGAUAAAAG
ensembl:lncRNA